rnacentral:rRNA from 1 species
UACAGAGGGUGCGAGCGUUAAUCGGAAUUACUGGGCGUAAAGGGCGCGUAGGUGGUCUGUUAAGAUUGAUGUGAAAUCCCUGGGCUUAGCCUAGGAACUGCAUCGAUGACUGAUGGGCUAGAGUACUGUAGAGGGUAGUGGAAUUUCCGGUGUAGCGGUGAAAUGCGUAGAGAUCGGAAGGAACACCAGUGGCGAAGGCGGCUACCUGGACAGAUACUGACACUGAGGCGCGAGAGCGUGGGGAGCAAACAGG